ensembl:lncRNA
UCUCAAACGUUUUUUUCCUUGAAGCGCUUUAUUUGUGAUGUUUUUUGAAAUGCUAUAUACAAAUCCCUCGUAGCCGUACUUUUUACAAGCCAUGAAAAAGCAAUUUGCACUGAUGUCUGAUGAAAUCCAUGCCAACAGGUGCUGGGAAUAUCACUUCCAGAGGCACGGCACCUUGCAGAGCCUGCUUUGCACAGUUCAUCUGCUAUCUCUCACUUGUCUCAGUAUCUAGCAUGGAAUUCCACACAUGCCUUUUAUUUAGGAAAGAACACAGAAGUAUGUUAUCUUAUUCCUCUGGAAUUUUCCGCAGUUAUUUAGCAUGUUAGUUUAGGCAUAACUGGUGAGCGGGCUCUUAAAAUUUAUAUCUUCACAGCACUUAUUUACAUCGGGCUUAAAGUAGUUCGUUGCAACCGAGGUAGUUGCGAAGCAUUAGGCUGCAACGUACCUAAUCCAUCUCUCCUCCCCCAUCACCAGAAAUCCUGUGGUUAAAAUAACACAGCCUCCAUUCAGAGCGCAAACUUAGAGCCGCGAGCGGGAGUCACACAACUGCACCGAUGGAUGUGCCCAAGGGGCUCUCGUGGUGCUGCUCCCCACCCCGCUGCUGAUCCAGGAGAGCACGGCGGGGGCUCUCCUGCCUGCACACCAGAAACUUCAAAAGAUACAAGGAGCACAGUAACACUAUUUGAUAGAAAAAAAUCUCAGCUAUAAAGCACUAUUUUUUCAACGCAGACACCACCAUUGCUAUGCAUUCCCACCAGCAAUGAACAAAAGCUGCACGUUGUCUUGGUAAAUAUCUGCACGAGUUGACCACUGUUUCAGAGCUGCUAUGACAGUGUCAUUGCUCAGAAAACAUUGCCCACGUAGUCCAGUUUUCAUCAGCCCGAACAGAUGGAAAUCAAAAGGUGCCAAAUUUGGACUAUAUGGUAGGUGUGGUAGGACAGUCCAGCCCAGAUCAGCUAUGUUCUCCAUAGUCUUCAAACUGGUAUGGGGCCUGACCUUCUAGUGUUGCAAGAGAAAGGUUGCCUUCUUCUCCGGCCUGACUGCAAGUUCAAGCCUUCAACUUAGUCAGCAUUGCAAUGCAGUGGUCAGAAUUGAUGGCCUGUCUGCACUUCAAGAAAUCCAGAGGGAUCACCCCUUUCCUAUCCCCAAAAGCAGCGUACAUCACUUUACCUGCUGAGGGCUGUGUCUUGAACUUUUUCUUUGAUGGAGAAUUCACCUGUGCCCACUGUAUGGACUGCCAUUUUGACUGUGAAUUGUAGUGGUGACACCACAUUUUGCCACUGGUAAUGAUGCAGUCCUGAAAACUGUCACCUUCAGCCUUGUAUUGGUUCAAUAGGCCCUGAAAAACUUACAUACAAUGUUCUUUCUAUUCCUGUGUGAGCAUUGGUGGAACCCACCCGGCACAAACUUUGUGAUAUUCCAAUGCUGCCACCAUAAUUUCCAACGCACUGGAGCAGAUAUUCAGCUCUAUACACAGUUCCCUGGUUGUAAUCUGCCGAUUCACACAGACAACUCGAUCAAAACACUCUUCAUUUUGUGGUGUGACAGCUGUGCAUAGUCAUCCAUAAUGUGGCUUGUCUUUCACGUCCCUGAUGUCACUGCUGAAAUGUACCAUCCGCCGCCUUUCUGUGCUGACAUCCACUCUUUGGUCUCUACAAACUUUCAGCAAGUGCCAGUGAAUGUCAAUAGGUGCCUUUUUUUUUUUCCAUAUGGAGAAAUUCAAUUCCACACCUUUGCUUCCUAUGCACUUCCAUGUCAGAUGUCAUUUUAUCAGACUGCCCCUCUGCUGCCAUCUGUCCCACAGCAAGAAAAUUUAACAGAGCAUUGGUGGAAAGUUUUAGCCUGUACUGCCAUACCACCAGACUGCUGGGCCCUUGGGCCCCUCAUCCAGCUUCUUGCCCUUGCUUUUCUACUAUGAACCAGAUCACAUGCAGAAUAGGGCUCCAAUUAUGAACACAUGUAAGCACUACGAUGGCCUAGGGUAAAAGUCAACUAAGAGACGCCGAGCAGUUGGCAGGCCCAAGCACUUGCUGAAGUAAAUGAUUCACAAACAUACCCUUCUAAGAGGGUCAUUAGGCUAAAAUAGGUUUCUAAAUCAGUCACCUGUUUCUUGAGGCCGAAUCAACUAUGGGAGCCAUAGAGGCAGGGGAUGUUUCAAAAGUGCCUGUGAAUGUCACAGUGUAAACCCUAGCAAGGACGAGCCCUGGGCCCACACCAGCCUAUGCCGGCAGAGGCAGUGGCUGUGGAGGACGUGCUCCAGUUCCUCUCCCUCCUCACUGUGCUCUUCCUGCAGUUUUUCCUUGUGAGGGGAAAGUUUAUAUUCCUCUUAUCAGCUGGGCCGUGCGCUCAGGCCUCCCGUGCAGGGAGGAGGCUGGGGGUGCCCGUGGAGGAUCCUGGCAGGGCUCCCACGUCAGGCCCUAAGGUGUCCACCUUCCUGGCAGGACACACUGCCAGAGGACGGGUCUCUGACGGCUCACGGCCCAGGACAAGGCCUCUGGUGGUGGGCGCUGGUGCCCGAAGCUGCCCAGGCCUGCCCAGCCCUGCUCUGUUCAGCUGGCAGCACCUCGUGCCCGUCUCCCUGCCGGAGCUGGAUGUCAAACCCAGCGAUGCGGUGUUUACAGAGCCGGAUUAAACGCGGGUCGAUGGAUCCCGGAACGAGCCCACAGCGGGGCCGGCGCCUGGAGCUGUCUGUGGGCACAGCAGCGCUGCUCCCGACCCGGAGAAACGGGUCUUGGGAGAAGCGCGGAUGUGCCCCGAAUCAACCAGAGGGGGCCCAAAUGUGUGGCAGCUCCACGGCGUGCGCCGUGCGGGAUGCGGCGGACACAGCGGGGGAACAAGAAAACAAACCAAAAUAAUAGCCAGAAAAAUACAGGAGACGAGCGCGCACAGCUCGGCUCCACCGCCUCCCGCGGACCCGGCCCCAGCGGCCCAGCGCCAGCGGCCGGGAGAGCCCCGGGAACCGCCC